AGCAGCCGCGGUAAUUCCAGCUCCAAUAGCGUAUAUUAAAGUUGUUGCAGUUAAAAGCUCGUAGUUGAAUUUCGGGAUCAGUACGCUGGUCGUGCCUUUGGUAUGUACUGGUGUCACUGAUUCCUCCCUUCUGAAGAACCGUUAUGCCAUUUAUUUGGUGUGGCGGGGAAUCAGGACUGUUACUUUGAAAAAUUAGAGUGUUUAAAGCAGGCUCGCGCUUGAAUACAUUAGCAUGGAAUAAUGAAAUAGGACGUUUGAUCUUAUUUUGUUGGUCUCUAGGAUCGACGUAAUGAUUAAUAGGGAUAGUUGGGGGCAUUAGUAUUCAAUUGUCAGAGGUGAAAUUCUUGGAUUUAUUGAAGACUAACUACUGCGAAAGCAUUUGCCAAGGAUGUUUUCAUUAAUCAAGAACGAAAGUUAGGGGAUCGAAGACGAUCAGAUACCGUCGUAGUCUUAACCAUAAACUAUGCCGACUAGGGAUCGGAUGAUGUUAUUUUUAAUGA
rnacentral:rRNA from 1 species